AAAGUCGUAACAAGGUUUCCGUAGGUGAACCUGCGGAAGGAUCAUUAAAUGAAGCAACCUAGGAGCCUGUAACAAGGCCACCGGGGUACCCUUCCACCCUUUGUCUAUUACACUUUGUUGCUUUGGCAGGCCCGCCCCCGGGCUGCUGGCUCCGGCCGGCUAGUGCCUGCCAGAGGACCUAAAACUCUGUUUGUUAAUAUUGUCUGAGUACUAUAUAAUAGUUAAAACUUUCAACAACGGAUCUCUUGGUUCUG
rnacentral:misc_RNA from 1 species